GAUGAACGCUGGCGGCGUGCCUGACACAUGCAAGUCGAGCGAUCUUCUUCGGAAGAGAGCGGCGGACGGGUGAGUAACGCGUGGGUAACCUGCCCUGUACACACGGAUAACAUACCGAAAGGUAUGCUAAUACGGGAUAAUAUAUGAGAGUCACAUGACUUUUAUAUCAAAGUUUUUGUGGUACAGGAUGGACCCGCGUCUGAGUAGUUAGUUGGUAAGGUAACGGCUUACCAAGGCGGCGAUCAGUAGCCAACCUGAGAGGGUGAUCGGCCACACUGGAACUGAGACACGGUCCAGACUCCUACGGGAGGCAGCAGUGGGGAAUAUUGCACAAUGGGCGAAAGCCUGAUGCAGCAACGCCGCGUGAGCGAUGAAGGCCUUCGGGUCGUAAAGCUCUGUCCUCAAGGAAGAUAAUGACGGUACUUGAGGAGGAAGCCCCGGCUAACUACGUGCCAGCAGCCGCGGUAA
rnacentral:rRNA from 1 species